UGAUAGUGGAAUCCCAAUAACGGGAGUUUUUGAAAAACGAUUAGUUAUUAUCUUAUAUGUCUCAAUGUUUCGUAACACACUUCAUGUCUAUAUAUAUAAAAUAUCUUCCUUUCAAAUCAUAAAAGCAGUAUGUUAGCGUUACGGAUCAAAAUGGACUUAAAUAAAUACGGGAUUUGCGUUUUCUGCCUGAUUUUGAUGCUGCACUUUUAUGUGUCUGAAGCAACAGCCGAUGUAGAAUGUAAUGUCAACUGUCUAGAAACGAAUGACGAGAAGCUUGCAUGUGACCUCGUUACAAAUAUAUGUUUACAUGGUUGUAAAGAUGGCUUCGGUGGAUCAGACUGCUUCCUAGAAUGUUGCUCCAAUUGCAGGACGUGUACAGCAAAUGAAAGGUGAUUUAACAUGCAUUAAAGAUAUAAUUUUCUUUUCCUUAGGGCGACAUUUCUCUAAUGCGUCAGUGGCCAACUUAAAACAAAAACGUAAUGAUAAAUAUAUAUAUAGGCUGAUUAUAAGCGUGUAAGCUCGCGUAAGCAGGGAUAUAAAUAGGCUGUGGUCCUUGGCCCCUAGAUAUUUGGCUGGGCCUCUAAAUUGUUGGAUAAAAUGCCCAUAUACCCAGUGUUUAACAUUUAGUUUGGACAGUAUGGGCCCCUAAAUGAAAAUAGCUAGUUUAUAUCCCUGGUUUGGCAGAUAAAAUGCCUGCAGCCACGUCUUCAUAAUCUGUGCAGCUAUGUACUUUUGUUGUGGGGGGCACAAGUACAUAUUUUAUAUUGGUUUAAGGGGUAAAAUAAAAUAAAUAAAAGUGAAACCCUGUUAGAGGCAGCCUUGACUAUAAAAAAUGUCGGCUGAAGUGUCGUCUCUGUCGGCUUCCCAUAACUGACCUGCGCUUAUAUACUUCAAGGUAAAAUGUGCUUCUCAUCGGCCGUCCCCAAGCGUCGAGAGUUGAAAAAAAAAGUAAAAUAAAAACAAAUGUCUUUGCUAAACCUCUAACAACCAGGGUCCCACCAAAUAGGACCCCCUUGAAGCGUUUCCGUCUGUUUGGUCAGUGCAGGUCUGUUUGUGGGAAUAACUGUAUGCGCAGUACAAGUGUACUGUAUCCUUUUGUCCUUUGAGCAAGUAGGUUUUAGUUAAAACAGCAAAAUUCGUACAAGUAAAUUUUGUCUAUAGCUAAUUUGAGUUCCGUAUAUAAGGGCAUGGCAGUUUUGAUUCCUGUUUAGUUGGUAUUUUUUGCAUGAUUCGGGCAUAAUAUGUUGUCUUGAUCUGUCCAGUUGUUUCAUUAAUUUUCGUGCUUAUUUAGGGAAAAUACCUCCAGGUCAACAUUAAAAAUUAAGUUUGUAAAAAGAAUAGUCGUUGUUAUAAGGUAUCAGAAAUGAUAUGGGCGGCUACACUUCCACGAUACGCAUGUCUGACAGCCAGCUUGCAUUUUCUAGCCACGGUACAAGUCCUUUUCUCUUCGUGAGUUUUGUUUUCCAAGGAGUAUCACAUAUAAGACUAAUACUAUAAUCUUACAUCCGUUGUGCUGCUGUUUCAUUCAUAUUUUUCAGCGGCAUUGGCUAAAUUAUUGUCAUCACAGAUUCCAUCGAUUGGCACAACGGUUCACAAAUGUCUUACUGUCGCCAUGUUUCCAUGUCUAUAUGGGUUGUAUACCUGUUGUGAUGGACAUCAGAUCAAAAUCUUGAUGAGGAUUCAAUUAACAGGAUGAUUUGUAUCUGCAGACAUCUAUUUUAGUGAAACGUCUCUUAUUUUAGAAAAGGCAAGUAUCUUAUUUACAUGUUUAUGUACAUAUAUAACAAAUCGUAAUAACUGUCUAGGACGGAUCGGCCCCGAUACAUACAUUUUAUUUAUUUAGCUGAUUAAUGAACAAUUAUUAUGACCAAUUUUCUAAACAUAUUAAGGGACUUACCUCCACGAGGACACCAAAAUGUUUUAAUUUUGCAAACUUGGAAAGUAUUUCUAUGAGAAACAUAAGCGUAUGUUUAAUAUCUACUUUGACAUAUGCUUAUACAAUAUUGAAGAAAUGAAAUUCUACCCUUAUUUUUCUUACAUCACUUUUAAAUUGCUCUACUGUCGUUUAUGUUUAUAUGUUUAUUUCUCAGUAUGCUUAACAUGCUUAAAAAAUGUUCCACAGAUGCGGCGCAUUCACAUUAUCAAAUAAUGACAGUACAUUCUCGUGUUAAAAAAAAAUCUUGAGGGGUAUCACUUUAUAACAGACGUUUACAUUUAUAUACUGGUGGAAGUCGACCAUUUUGGUGAAAUGUGUUAGGUCCAUGUUUUGGAGAAGAAAUUUUAAACAUCAUCAAAUCAUAGAAAGUAAUGAUUGUUUUACACGAAAAUUUGAUGUAGCAUAUAAAACAUUUGCAUUUGAAACAAUGUACGAAUGCUUGAUAUUUACAUAUCUAGGUUUAACGUCGUUUUUGACUAUUGUUUAAUUUUAUCUAUGUACAAAUGACACUAAUUUUGUAGGGGGACAAAUCUUUUAGAAUAUUUAAGUAUCCAAUUUUACAGGACAGAAUGGUAAAAAGUGUGUUUGAAAGAUGGGUUGUUUAUAAAGAUGUUGAUCAUUCACUAAAAUUUCUAUGGUUUUCGGAUAUAUUGCUAAACCUUACACAAAUUUCUACAUUGAUAUGAUAAAAGUAACGCUUGGUUUUAACCUUCGGACAAUUAUUUUAUUAAGCAGUUUCAUUUAUUCAUAAUGUAUAUAUACGUAUGCAAAAAUACUAAUUUUAGUGGCCCAUCAACACACAUAAGUGCAUUUCAGGUAUGGCACUAGGCAAGGUGAUUAAUAAUAAAAGACGGAAAAUAAGGAUUCAAAUCGUAUUGGUUCUUUGAUAAUGUUUAUUGCUAACAGUUCUCCCCUUUUGCAGCCAUCUCUGGGGAUGAUUGUUCUUUCGAUUGAUACAAAUUUUAUCUUUUUUAUUUAAUGUAUUCUGUUUGUACCUUUGCAGUGCCGCUGGGGCAAAUGAAAUUAGGUUAUUUUCAAUAUACUUCUUUAAAUUAGCUGUUUGUAUAGUAUGUGCAUUUUAAACAUUAUGUCACCUUGCCAGUUGCCAUGAGAAAUCUUUAAAAUAAAGUCGCGGCCUUUUCCCACUAAACUGUGUUGUAGUUUUCAUUUAUACUGAUAUUUAUGUUGUAUUGGGUUUGACAGACGUAUAUGGUCGGACGCUAACUCAUCUGCCAACGAAAUGUGAUAAUAUCAGUAUCAGUAAAUUCAUUCUUGUUUUUUUUUUAAAUGGCUGAUGAUUUUGUGUCUUGCUAAGGACUGCUGUCAUUCCCGGUUAUAUACGGUCCAGUGAUAAAAUAAUGGGUUUUAUGUUGCCCCUUUUUGCAUAAUAAACCUGUUUAUUUUUCAUGGACCUCUGUUCCAGUAAGGAGGUCGCGACGAGAACUGUAUUUUAGUAAUUAGUUGUGCGCUAGUUGUUUCCCUUUAUAUUUUGGACGCAAUUUGUAAUGAAAAAGCGUGAAUUUCGUUUUUGGAUUUGCCACGUUUGCAUGGCCAUUUCAAUCCUCGUCAGCAAUGGAACAACAUAGACUUUCACUGAAUUUAUCCCACCCGCCCAUGCCCAUAUUUGUUGAUAUUGUUUACAACUUUAUUGUGAAUCAGAAAUCUUUGCUGCUUCUGUUCAUCUGUUUUUCAGGUUCCUGCAUAAUAGAUCUGUUUCAGAUCAUAGAAUACGUCAUCAGGGAAAAGUACAAUAGCAGAAAGCGGUAUUCCCACAAACAAUACACACAGCUAUGAAGUGACUGAUGAAUAAUUUGGUCAUGUAAUAAAGUUUACGAUCAUUCUUUGAGAGGAUGUAUCAAUAAAGUUUACGAUCAUUCUUUGAGAGGAUGUAUCAAAAUAAUGACAUGGAUUUUGUGAGAUUACUGCUAUGAGAACUACUUUAGAAAUGAAAUGGAAUACCCAUACGAUCAGACACUUUAGUGUUAGUGUUGUUAGUAAUGUUGUUCGUAAAUGUUCUGUUGAACACCAGAAACUAAAACUGAUAGAUAUAUAAAUAUAUAUGUUAACGUUAUUAUUUGUCGCGGCUUUAUAACGUUUUCAUAGAAUAUUGAUUCUAAUUUGAAAAUGCAUUGUGGGAGUAGAAGAGUAUCAAAGUCAUAUGCAUUAAUUUUAAAGUAAUAGUAUUACUCAGAAGUACUGUAAUAGUUUAAUUCAGAAUGGUAUCAAGUAACUUGAAUAGUCAUGUUUUUGUUAGUGUUCUGUGUAGUGAAGGAAAUAGCUUAUUAGCCCUGGUUAAUGGUACGCCACUUUGAAAAGCUGUCGACCACCGACCAUGGUUUAUAUUUGUUCUUGGAAAAUGUCAUUAGUCUAACCAGUGUUAGCAGAAGCCUUGUCAUAAUUUGUCGGCGUAUAAGUCUCAAUUGUGGGUCUGCACUUGCGUUUUAAUGAAUGCGUAGUACAAUCUCUCGGCUGAAAAUGGCUAGAAGCCACUAAAUAAUUCGGUCGAGGACUGAGGGCCAAGGCAUUUGUAGAAUACUGUUUAACUAUAAGUUCAUUAUAACUAAUUAAAUCAAAAUGGCAUUCCAGCAUAGUCGGGUCUACUGUCUAAAUCACUGUGGCAUUACCUGACGUCGAAGGUGGACCUCAGUUUGUGUUAUUAGAUGACGUCAUAGGUUGAAGGCAGUCGGAUUCGGUAGUCUGGAGACUCGACGUAAUCAGUUUUCAGUUAUUUUGCUCAAUGGCUGGUCUGCUAUAGACAUCUGAGCCGCAUGGUUUGCUCGCCCCUACGAUACGUGAAUUUUUCAUCAGACUGUACAUGCCUCGUUUCACAGUGCAGACCUAUCUUCGGGACCAUAGGUGCAUAAAUGGUCAGUGACAUGAGUAAAGUUUUUCUUCAUACGGUACAUUUAAUUAUGAUGAAUACCGCUAUUUCAAAUUAAUUCAUAACACUUUUUUAUAAAGCGUAUAUAUAAUGCGCUACCAUGUACUUUCGUGUUCUUCUGCCCCACAGGUUUGCGAAGUUAGGCAUGGCAAUUAUACGAAAUUGUUACAGAAAAAUGAUAGUCGUAGAUUGUUGAUAUACAUAUUAGCAUGCUUGAAUUCGUUCCGUUUUUCAGUAUUUCGAGGAAUAGUCUGAGCAUUUCAAUGUGUUAUACAUUGGCUACGGAAACACGUUUCCUCCUGUCCUAGUUAAAAAUCGGGGAGAGUUUUUUUCGUGGGCGGCUCGUAUUCCGUUUGAGAAAUAUACAAUCGAAUUUGUUCAACGUGAUAAAAUGUAGCGGCUUUAACUGUAUUAUUUAAUAUACAGAUUCGAUUGUGGCAUGCAUAUCAAUUGAUAUGACGGCAUCUCGUAUAGCAUUUGUACAUAUCUGAAUAACAUUUACAUUUUGAUGCCGUAUGUUUGCUUUUCUAUUAUCGGAAUGUAAAAUUGUUGAUUACUGUUUUCUGUUAGAAGAAAGAUAUUUUUGUACACUAAUAACUUAUAUGUACAGUUAGUAUUUCCCCCUUUUGCAGCCAUCGCUGGGGAUGAUUGUUCUUUUGAUUGAUUCAAAUUUUAUCUUAUUUAUUUAAUUUAUUCUGUUUGUACCUUUGCAGUGUCGCUGGGGCAAAUGAAAUUAGGUUAUUUUCAAUAUACUUCUUUAAAUUAGCUGUUUGUAUAGUAUGUGCAUUUUAAACAUUAUGUCACCUUGCCAGUUGCCAUGAGAAAUCUUUAAAAUAAAGUCGCGGCCUUUUCCCGCUAAACUGUGUUGUAGUUUUUAUUUAUACUGAAAUUUUAGUUGUAGUGGGUGUGGCAGACGUAUAUGGUCGGACGCUAACUCAUCUGCCAACGAAAUGUGAUAAUAUCAGUAUUAAUAAAUUCAUUCUUGUUUUCUUUUAAAAUGGCUGAUGAUUUUGCGUCUUGCUAAGGACUGCUGUCAUUCCCGGUUAUAUACGGUCCAAUGAUAAAAUAAAUUACAUUACUUGUGAUUAAUUAUUUAGCCUAAUGAUCUGUUUGUAAUUUACCUGUUUAUUUCGCCGUAUUUACUCGUUCAUAUCAUAUCGGCCGAUAUUUUGUUUAGUUAUCAACAAAUGAUCAGAGUGUCGUUAGCCUAUCGUCAUCGGCAUGUUUAUAGCUUCCUAAAAUAAAGUUUU